rnacentral:misc_RNA from 1 species
AAAAAAAAAAAAAAAAAUUCUUCUACAACAGUUGGGCAUUUUCCAGCCCAUAGCUGAGAAUCAUUCUUGGCAAGUGUCUAUAACUAUAACUAACAAAAAUUCAGGAGAAAGAUCAUAAUAGUGAGAAAAGAUCUUCAGUCUAGAGUGCAAGGUGGAAAAGAUACCAACAAAGGUUGCAUGGCAUCGAAGUUUUGGCAAAACUGGGUUGAAAUAUUGUUGCGUACACAGAGUAUCAAACCAAACAAAUUAGGUCUAUCUACUGUAGUAAUACUUGGCUAAUGAAAGAUUGUCAUGCACAUCAGUUAUUAGUUAAUUACUCGUACUUAGUGGGAAAAUUAUUACAUAAGUACUAUAAAAUAAUAGUGGUUCCUAUGACAAUUUUUAAGUUUAUAAAGGAGUGGAACCAUUUACUUAUAUAUGGAAACAGAUCAAAUAAGCUUUGUAUUUUUUAAUUAAAAUUACAUAAGUCCUCACCUACAAAAGACUUAUUUUACUUUUUUUUUCCUCCAUUUAUAGAUGUGCCAAGAAAACAAUUCCAUUACUGUAAUACAGCUAGUCAAUUUUAGCAGGAGGCUGCUCAUUUUCCGCAUCUCAAGUCAAAAAGGCAGGCCCAGGGCCUCCACCUAUCCCUUUGCGUAUAACUUUCCGCCCUUAGUUGAUGAGUUUCUAGGUUUCACACUGAGCUGACCUCCGUUGCGCCUUCUCUAAUUUUGUAAUUCUAACCUCCAAUAAUGGACCCUUAUCAACUAACUCAAUUUUAUAAAAAAAAAAUUAUUAGGUGUAUUCGAUAUAUAAAUAUUAUCUCUCACAAUUAUAUUAUGAGUGUGACCUACUCUUCUACAAGAGAGAAAAAAUUAUUUUUUAAUCCUUCUAAUACAUUUAAUAAUUAGCCCUCAAAAAUUCUCUCCAAGAUGUUGACCAGAAAAAUAGGACAAAGUGUGACAGACUAUGAAGCAAACCCAACAACUUUGAUCUAACUCUCUUGAUUUACACCCUUUCUUUUUAUCUACCACUCGUCAUGUAGAGCAACAAUAUCG